rnacentral:rRNA from 1 species
GGGUCAGUAGGUUGGUCGUGCCACCGGUACGUACUGGUCUCACUGAUUCCUCCUUCCUGAAGAACCGUAAUGCCAUUAAUUUGGUGCUGCGGGGAAACAGGACUGUUACUUUGAAAGAAUUAGAGUGUUUAAAGCAAGCUAACGCUUGAAUACAUUAGCAUGGAAUAAUGAAAUAGGACGAUCGAUCCUAUUUUGUUGGUUUCUAGGAUUGACGUA